rfam:Oryza meridionalis cultivar OR44 (W2112) chromosome 10, whole genome shotgun sequence.
UUUCCUAGAUUGCUUUCAAGGUCAUUUCUUUCUGAAACCCUGUUCCCAUAAAUUCAGUAUCCAAAGCUGGUUGUUGUAUCUAUGGGAAUAAGGGUUUCAGAAUGAAAUGAUCUUGGACGCAAUCUAGGAGU